rnacentral:rRNA from 1 species
UAGGGAAUCUUCGGCAAUGGACGAAAGUCUGACCGAGCAACGCCGCGGGAGUGAAGAAGGUUUUCGGAUCGUAAAACUCUGUUGUUAGAGAAGAACAAGGACGUUAGUAACUGAACGUCAUCUGACGGUAUCUAACCAGAAAGCCACGGCUAACUACGUGCCAGCAGCCGCGGUAAUACGUGGGUGGCAAGCGUUGUCCGGAUUUAUUGGGCGUAAAGGGAGCGCAGGCGGUUUCUUAAGUCUGAUGUGAAAGCCCCCGGCUCAACCGGGGAGGGUCAUUGGGAGCUGGGAGACUUGGGUGCAGAAGGGGGGAGUGGAAUUCCAUGUGUAGCGGUGAACUGCGUGGGUAUAUGGAGGAACACCAGUGGGGAGGGCGGCUCUCUGGUCUGUAACUGACGCUGAGGCUGGAAGGCGUGGGGAGAAAACAGG